rnacentral:lncRNA from 1 species
GGAGAAGGCGGCGGUUCAGGGUGCAGAUGUCGUCACGGUCACCAUGUGGCAGCAACGGCCAUUUCGUGGCUAAGAAAGAGCCCCGGUGCCUGGCAACAAAGAGUACCCCUGGCUCAGGCUCUCUACACAUUAAUUCCACAGGGGCUGAACCUGGGACAUCCGAGCACCGCGGCCUCCUUCGCCCUUCGAUUGUUUUGCUGGUACUUGCCGGAUGUUGCUUUGACUGAGGUCUGGCAGAGCCCCCAGGGCAUCUUAUAAGCCACUCCUCACCUGAUCAGACCCACUGGGCCAGGACCUCAGGAUGCUUCCCAAGGCUGGAUCUCCUAUCUCUACCAGUGGGACAACUGACUGGAACCUGGAAUUCAGUGCCGUCCUUCACACCAUCAGGAGGAGAAUGAUCUAUGAUUGGCUGGUGAGCACAUGCGUGUGAGAUCAAGGCUUGAAUACAUGAGUGCUGUGGUGGUUCAAAUAUGCUUGGCCCAGGGGAAGUGGCACUAUUAGGAGGUGUGGCCUUGUUGGAGUAGGUCAAGAUGUAGAACUCUCAGCUCCUUCUCCAGCACCAAGUCUGCCUGGACACUGCCAUGCUUCCUGCCAUGAUGAUAAAGGACUGAACCUCUGACACUGUAAGCCAGCCCCGAUUAAAUGUUGUCCUUCAUAAGAGUUGUUUCAGCCAUGGUGUCUCUUCACAGCAAUGAAAACCUGUGCUGCCUAUGCUCAGAUAUGGUAGGACACCCUACAGGAAGGAAAUGUAACCAGGUUUAUACAUGUUUAGUGGAGGGCAGCAGCUCAGACCACAGGCUUAGGAGUUAGACUGCUAGG